UACGUAGGGUGCGAGCGUUAAUCGGAAUUACUGGGCGUAAAGCGUGCGCAGGCGGUUCGUUAAGUCAGAUGUGAAAGCCCCGGGCUCAACCUGGGAAUGGCAAUGGAAACUGGCGAGCUAGAGUACGGUAGAGGAGAGUGGAAUUCCCGGUGUAGCAGUGAAAUGCGUAGAGAUCGGGAGGAACAUCAGUUGCGAAGGCGGCUCUCUGGACCAGUACUGACGCUGAGGCACGAAAGCGUGGGGAGCAAACAGG
rnacentral:rRNA from 1 species